rnacentral:tRNA from 1 species
GGGCACGUAGCAUAGCACGGAUAAUGCGACAGGCUUCGGACCUGUAGAUCGGGGGUUCAAAUCCCCUCGUGCCCA